AUCUGUAUUUGAACUGUUCAGCCGACUUAUCUCUUCGAUGUGUGCAACAGCUAUCCAUCCCGAAUAAGAUAAAAUUUGACAUAACUAUGUCCCCUGAUCUUGUGAGAGCAUUUAAAGGCUGAAUUAUCUCAUCUAAUUUGGUAUGUCCAACGGUCCGGCAAUCUCAGGAUCAUGUAAUCUUACAGCUAAUGAUCCAGCUGUUCGACAUUCUUCUAUAUAAAUAGCCAGAGCCCCGAAGAUCCAAGUAAGUUUCAUCGAAUUCCUCUAAGAGAACUCGUUGCUGCUUCCUUAUUCUCUAUUUUUCUGACUUGAGUGUCGGAGGAUCCUUACCGAAGCCACAACCUCCGAUUUGAGAUUUGUUUUGUAGGUUGCUCCAGCACCAACACC
rnacentral:lncRNA from 1 species